rnacentral:rRNA from 1 species
UACGUAGGGGCGAGCGUUGUCCGGAUUUAUUGGGCGUAAAGAGCGCGUAGGCGGCCGUUCACGUCGGAUGUGAAGGCUCAAGGCUCAACUUUGAGAUGCCAUUCGAUACGGAACGGCUAGAGGCAGCUAGGGGAGAGUGGAAUUCCUGGUGUAGCGGUGAAAUGCGCAGAUAUCAGGAGGAACACCAAUGGCGAAGGCAGCUCGCUGGGACGGUACUGACGCUGAGGCGCG